UCAAAGGUGUCUUUAGACACCCCCUUUGUAUUCAAAAUUUUAUUCU
rfam:Picea glauca, whole genome shotgun sequence.